ACACACACGCGCAACGCACACUUUUUCUCUAUCUCUUUUUCUUUCUCCUUCUUACGAUUCUCCGGACGAUCGUUAAACUUACGAAAUCGUGUUUUCAACGAUGACGAUGAUAAUCAGUCGUUAAAGAAAACGAACGAGUUUCAUAUAUAUCGUAUGACAUCGCGUGUAAACGCCCUGAUAGAACGUGCAAUAUACACACGUUGCCUUAAAUGCAUCUGCACGCGGUUAAUGUCAUCCCCAAUUUUUAACACUAGACAAGAUUAAAUCCACCAUGGAACGCAAAGGUACUUUUUCUUCUUCGCAGAGAUACCCAAGAAUGUAUUUAUUCCUAAAUGAAAAGACGUAUUUCUAGAGUCUUCGUAAAAUUCGUAUUCUUAUCGUUGUGAACGAUCCUUAAAGCGAUUCUAACGACACCACGUUCCUUUCAACGAAUCCUACGAGUUUGAUCGCUUCGGUUGGUACACUGAUAUUUCCAUAAAUAUAAUUAAUGAUAAUAAUAGACUGCAUUUUAUUUUUAGCAACGAGGAAGCAUCGAUUUAAAUCAAUUUAAAAUUUUUCUUAUAGACGUUGGUCGUUCGUGGUUUACAUCAGCGACGAGUAAGAGCGUAAUUCUUGAUCGAUAUCGACGAACGAGGUCUCAUUUUAAAGACGAAGUGGCGCCUCCUAAACUAUGCGGCAAAAGAGAAGAAGUUCGUAUCCCCACUACUGAUUUUCAAAUAAACUCUUGAACGGCGUGUUUUGUUUCUGCGAAGUAAACGAUUGCCCGUUUGUUUCCUGCGUAAAUCGAUAUUUAGAUUUUUUUGUUUCGUUCUAAAUUUCUAUUUUGAAUUGGCGAUUCUUGACUACGUGCGACGACAACAGAAACAAAUCUUCGAUUGACUUUGAUAAUUACUGGAUCAAUUCUUCUUUCUAUUCGAGUGAACAUCGAAGUUCUCACAAGAUGUCUGCUGCAAGUAUCAACGAAGAUUAAAAAACUUUAUUACAAUCGCGCGCGUAGCAAUGAAAUAAUCGAGCGUUCGUUCGUUCGCGUUUCGCGAUUUAAACAAGAAAUAUUUUUGUCUAUCGAUUGCGUGCAAUGCAGUCGUUAGAGUCAGUGUUUGUUCGCAAAGUUUUUUACUUUUUUAACAGUCGCACAGACUGUGUUUAUAAAAGACAAUAGAGUUUCGCGAAGUAAAUUCAGUGAGCGUUCGUUAAUAAAUAAUUAUCGCGAAUUAGAGUCAGUGCAUCAUCGAAGACGAUCUCGUCCAACUUCGAUUUUCAACCAACUACGAAUCAUCCACCCUCAAUUUCGACCUAAAUCGCGAACGAGUGUUUUGGAGCCUUCGCAGAACUUCUUAAGUAUUCGACCAAACACGAGUCUCACGUCUCAAAGUCUGAGUCUUGAUCUCUUUGUUGGCGCAGUUUGCUCUUCGCUUUUCUCGCCUUUGUCGCCAUGGGUUUCUUCUUUUUCGGCUUCGGCAUGAUCUCGCAGCUG